AGAAGAACGAGAUCUCUUGGAAUGUGAUGAUCACGCUUUGCAUCCGCAGUGGAAAGAUAGCUUCUGCCAAGGAUUUGUUUGAUCGGAUGCCCGUGAAACCACUUGAGCAAAUCAAUUUAGUAGAUCAACAGUGCUUCAACCUCAACCAGUUCCAGCGUCCGCUAUAGAUGGUGCAACACAGGACGCAGUAGAAGGAAUGCUCGAAGAAUGGCAGGAAAACCUGGCUAUAAUGGCAGCUAACCGAACUAAUGGGGACGAGAGAGUGAUUAUGCAUCUUGGUGAUUGUCUCUGGAGACAUCGAGAUGAGAUAUGUGGAGCCCAUAUUUGCUAUCUUGUUGCAAAUGCUAGUUUUGAGCCUUUCUCCCCUUCUGCCAGACUUUGUCUUAUAGGUGCCGCCCAUUGUAAGUAUCCACGCACGUACGCUAGUCCAGAAGCUAUCCAGGUAAGCCGUGUUUGUCCUCAAUAACAAUUGUUAACCUUUUCUUCAUCAGCGAAUGGACGUGUACGAAUUUGCCAGAGUGACUGGCAAAUCCCAGUUUAUUUACUUCCUUUUCAGCCAUACAAGCUUAUUUAUGCGUCGAUGCUUGCUGAAGCUGGAAAGAUAAACGAAGCUUUAAGCUGAUGUGUGCAAAGAAGCGGCUGUACCCUUGGAAGAGCGUC